GUGCAUUACACAUUUGACUUCAGUCAGUACCUGAAAUUACCCCAUCAUUCAAGGGAAAGGGUCCCACAUUUUUUAUACAGCCAAGGAAAAUCCAACUGUUUGGCUUCAGGAUUGACGGAUACAGACAAUACAACUACCUCCUUGAUGAGAACCAGAGAAUAGGUCAAGAUGGACAACUAGCUCAUGGGCCAGACUCAGUAAUUUCAAUGUUGGAUGAUGCUUUCGAAAAGUUUGGUAUGAAAGAAGACGAGUGCCGAAUCCAUGCAGAUAAUUGUUAUGG